AGCAUCCUACGGGAGGCAGCAGUGGGGAAUAUUGCACAAUGGGCGCAAGCCUGAUGCAGCCAUGCCGCGUGUAUGAAGAAGGCCUUCGGGUUGUAAAAGUACUUUCAGCAGUGAGGAAGUGGGUAUGUUAAUAGCCAUACUCAUUUGACGUUAGCUGCAGAAGAAGCACCGGCUAACUCCGUGCCAGCAGCCGCGGUAAUACGGAGGGUGCGAGCGUUAAUCGGAAUUACUGGGCGUAAAAGCGCAUGCAGGUGGUUUGUUAAGUCAGAUGUGAAAGCCCGGGGCUCAAACCUCGGAAUUGCAUUUGAAACUGGCAAACUAGAGUACUGUAGAGGGGGUAGAAUUUCAGGUGUAGCGGUGAAAUGCGUAGAGAUCUGAAGGAAUACCGGUGGCGAAGGCGGCCCCCUGGACAGAUACUGACACUCAGAUGCGAAAGCGUGGGGAGCAAACAGGAUUAGAUACCCUCGGUAG
rnacentral:rRNA from 1 species